rnacentral:rRNA from 1 species
GACGAACGCUGGCGGCGUGCUUAACACAUGCAAGUCGAACGGAAAGGCCCUGCUUUUGUGGGGUGCUCGAGUGGCGAACGGGUGAGUAACACGUGAGUAACCUGCCCUUGACUUUGGGAUAACUUCAGGAAACUGGGGCUAAUACCGGAUAGGAGCUCCUGCUGCAUGGUGGUGGUUGGAAAGUUUCGGCGGUUGGGGAUGGACUCGCGGCUUAUCAGCUUGUUGGUGGGGUAGUGGCUUACCAAGGCUUUGACGGGUAGCCGGCCUGAGAGGGUGACCGGCCACAUUGGGACUGAGAUACGGCCCAGACUACUAAGGGAGGCAGCAGUGGGGAAUAUUGCACAAUGGGCGGAAGCCUGAUGCAGCAACGCCGCGUGCGGGAUGACGGCCUUCGGGUUGUAAACCGCUUUCGCCUGUGACGAAGCGUGAGUGACGGUAAUGGGUAAAGAAGCACCGGCUAACUACGUG